rnacentral:rRNA from 1 species
UAGAGUUUGAUCCUGGCUCAGGAUGAACGCUGGCGGCGUGCUUAACACAUGCAAGUCGAACGAAGCCCUCGGGCUUAGUGGCGGACGGGUGAGUAACGCGUGAGAAUCUACCUUCGAGAUGGGGACAACCGUUGGAAACGACGGCUAAUCCCCAACAAGCCGAAAGGUGAAAGGGUUUCCGCUCGCAGAGGAGCUCGCGUCCGAUUAGUUAGUUGGUGGGGUAAGAGCCUACCAAGGCAGCGAUCGGUAGCUGGUCUGAGAGGAUGAGCAGCCACACUGGGACUGAGACACGGCCCAGACUCCUACGGGAGGCAGCAGUGGGGAAUUUUCCGCAAUGGGCGCAAGCCUGACGGAGCAACGCCGCGUGUGGGAAGAAGGCUCUUGGGCUGUCAACCACUUUUCUCAGGGAAGAAGUCCUGACGGUACCUGAGGAAUCAGCCUCGGCUAACUCCGUGCCAGCAGCCGCGGUAAUACGGAGGAGGCAAGCGUUAUCCGGAAUUAUUGGGCGUAAAGCGUCCGCAGGGGGCACUUCAAGUCUGCUGUCAAAGGUCGGAGCUUAACUCCGGUUCGGCAGUGGAAACUGGAGUGCUAGAGGGCGACAGGGUAGAGGGAAUUCCCAGUGUAGCGGUGAAAUGCGUAGAGAUGGGAGACACGGUGGCGAAAGCGCUCUACUGGGUC